CCACCUUCCAAGCCAGGAUUGAGUCCUGCAGUGAUGAAUGUAAUAAAAGCAGAAGCCAAAGCAGUGCACAACAAUGUUAAAUAUUUUGCUUUGUUCCUUGAUGAAGUGUCUUUGGAGACGCUUUGUUCCUUGAUGAAGUGUCUUUGGAGACAAUUUUUUAUUAUGAUGUGAAUAAGCAGCAAAUCAGUGGGUUUCACGAUAUAAGAAGGGCAAAUAUAUGUGCAGACCAUGAUGUGUUGGUAGUCUGGUCAGAGUCAUAUGCAAAAUUUGGAGGCAGGUAGCCGCAUCUCUCUUCACUCAGAGCUCAGUUUCAGAUGCAGUUCCCUCCGUGUCUAAGUAUCUACAUUACCUGGGAGAGAACAUCCUGCAGACGUAGAUUGUAGGGAAUGCCUGAGUAGGCAUACUCUGUUUACAACAGCGAUAACUUGAAGCAUAAGUAUUCAAAGUGAUUGUAAGACUGGCGCACUGAACUGCUGCAGAAACAAAGCGAUGUAUAGAUGUCAGAUGAUAAUCUUGUGUUCAUCAUCAAAAUGAAAGUUGUAACACACUCAGGAAAUGAGCACAGAAGAGCAGAUGUAGGAAUCAAGUGUCACUGCAUUCGGUGAGGUUGUAAUGGAGUUGGUUUGCGGUAGGAUGAAACCCAGUGCUGGUCCAUGGGCCUACUGUUCUCAAAAAGUACGUUGCGGCUGCUGAGCUUAACUCUAAAUCUGAAGAACAGAAAGUGUCACAUGCCUUCACAUCAUGAGACAGUGAAAGAAGGUACAAAUGUAAUCCAGGACAUUAGCGCAAAAUGUGAUCACGAACUUUACGCCAUCACCUCUCAUCCCUUUGUCACCCAAAUACUGGCAUUGAAAAUUUUCCACCACCAGGAUGACUUGCAUCCAAGUUGAGAGCCACCACACAGAACUUUGUUAGCAACCUUGGUUAUGGAGAUGGGGCCAUCUCACCACAAUCGUAGAAAUUUCAAAGCAAUAGGCCUACUGCUGUGUUAACAUUGCCAAGUUCUGUAAACAUUCUCCUGUUUGUUUUUACCCCAAAUGUCAUAUAAGAGUGGGAUCCAACACACUCUCUACAUCAUUUGUCCACUAAAUUCAAAUGGUCGGUGGAGGAAAGAUGUUUGUUUAUGUUCAUCCAUAAAUAAACAUUUAUUUGCACUCAAUGUCAUCAAGAUUAAAGCUGAUAACUGAAGAUCUAGCUGAAGCCUCUUCAGGCUUCUUAUACUUAAAUGCCAAUACAUAUAUUCCCUAACGGUAUUUGUGGACAACAGAAACUUUAAUGAACUCGGCAAUUCACAACCACAGUACUACAGGUAGAAAUAAUUUACUUCUCCUGCUUUAAAAGGGAGUUUUAUAUUCUGGUGCAAAAGAUUGUAACAGGUGGACUGUAGAAAAGAAACUAAACAUUCCCACUCAUCCAUAUAAACGGCAAGUUGACAUAUCCUGAGCAUGUGAAUUUGUUGAAAACAAGUGACCAGUCAGUGUGUAAAAAAGAGUCGAGCUAAGACACUAAAAGUAAGUUGUCAGUCAGUGUGUGAAAAUAAUCAAGCUGUAUACGGAAAAAAAAGAGGAAGUAUCCAGUCAAUGUGUGAAAGCAAACAAGCUACUGCAUGUUAGUUUUGCUUCACAAUUGCUAAAUAUGUAUGGGAAUUGGACAUACAUCCUAAUCUCCUUCUCCCCUACGUCUCUGUUUCCUCCUGUCGCCUACCAUCUCCUUCCCCCUCUCUCUGUCCAUCUCCUCCUCUGCCCUCUCUAUAUCCAUUUCUUCCCUCCCUGCCAAUGGCCAUCUCUUCUCUCCCCCUUCUCUCUCUGAGCUUGAGCCUUGCUUCUUAUUACAAUUUUAGUUUCCAUAGUAGUAUUCUAAUCAUAAACCAUAAAUACAAUGUUCCUGUUUCCUGUGAAAACAGAUUGCAAGGAAUAAAACAAAACAGUAUAGUUUUGUGUUUACAGUUUGCAUUUAAAAAAUAUAUAAUGAGGUAGAACAUAUAUGGAAGAAAUAAUUUGUCUAGCAGUUUAAGUGCCCAGCUAUCAUAAUUGAAACUGAUUGUGAGAAAGAAAACAAAACUAUACAUGUUCACAGCAGAGCAAGGCAAACAUUUUCGUUGGCACAGUCAGUUUUAACAGAAAACUGGUAGUUAGUCUUUAAAAGAAUAUAUGGCCUGUGUCUCUCUGAAUGUUUAUAAGGGUAUCAUGUAAAAAUUUGAAAUAAAUUGGUCAAGACCUUUUUGAGAUUUCUGCUAACAAUGUUUCCCAUUACCAUAUACAAUUAAAAAAAUGUAGCCUAUAUCCAUCUAAACAUUUAUUAGGGUAUUGUGCAAACAUUUCAAGUAAAUCAGUCAAGUACAUUUCCAGAUUUGUCUUUUUACAGUAAUACAGAUUAAUGAACACUGGGCAAGCGAAUAUCAAUUGCAGUUAUAAUUAUGUACAACCAGUGUUUGACUUAAUAAUAGUUUACUGUAGAUGGAUACAAAACUGUGAAAAUGGGGGGGGGGGGGGGUGCUCAAUGUAUGUUAGUAGUGGCAUAGACUUGCAUUGCAGUGCCCUUGCUGUGUAUGAUUACUGUACAGAAAAUUUACUGGAACAGUAGUGUUGUUCUGUCAGUGUAAAAUCUUACAAUUGUACGUGUAUAACUGCACAACAGAUAGUGAUAUUGGUAUAUCUGUGCAGGUUACAGAAACUGAUUGUACACUUUGAGAAAUGGCCUAAAUAUACGAUUUUAAUUUUUGGUGGCUUGAGUACUGAUACAAGACCAAGGACACAUACACAUUAACCUACUCAGUAUGCUAUGAUCACAUGACCUGUUCUGUAUUAACGAUCACUUGACAAGACAAACUGCUUGCCUUGACAAUGUAAUUACUAAUGUUGAUACAAAUCAGUUAUCAAGUAGGGUUGUUUAAUACACAUUAUAUCAGUGCAUAAAGGUGUUCAGUUAAAUUAAAUACUAAAAAGUCUAUAUCUGAUUCCAGUGAAAUUAAGUCCAGAACCUGUCUAAAGACAACAAACUGGAAUGGCAUUCUGCUUGGAAGCAGGCCUACUCACAUUGAAAAUGCAUUUACAUUAACUGUCAGUGCACUGUCAGAUACAUUUAAAACUAAUUGCCCUAAAGUAGUGAGAAAAAAUAAGGGAACUGGCAGGAUGUAUGGUCUCACAUCUGUGCAUUACCGGUUCACACACUAUCUACGAAAGCUAUUAACUUUGUUAAUAAUUUCCUAUGACAAAUCAAGGGAUAGCAGAGCAGAAAGAGCAAGCCACAUAUAGUUAGAGAACAAAUAUAAGGCAGAAAUCAGUCAGAUUAAGCAAGUGCAAUGUUAAUGACGUUUAUAUUAAUAAGUUGCAAAAUAAAUGUAAAGUAGCCUGAAUUGUUGUCAGGACUUAUGUGGGCAGAAGUAAAGAUAUUAGCAAAAAUAAUUCCUGUGAUGCUGGUAUCACACCAGAUGAUUUCAACACGUUCUUUGUUCAUGCUGGCAGUAUGAAUAACACUGCUGCAGCUGAACACAAUCGUAAAUAUGACAACAUCCAUGACUCAAAACAUGAAAACUCUUUUCCUACAAAAUAUUGAAGAUUUACUUCCUGGCACUAAAAGAUAAGAGGUAAAAAUAACCAAUAAUAA